AAGGCUUGCUACAUCAGCCACCGCAAAUCUCCGGUUUCGAUUGCUUCUGGUGGUGCUUCUAGAGAGAAAACUCAGGCUCACAUAAGGGAGCUGGAAGAGGAAGUGAAGCUGCUUAGGAAUCUAUCACACACAAAUAUAGUUGCAAGUAUUUUAUCUUUUCAUGUACCAAAAUACGAUCCGAUAUUGCUGGAUUCUGAGCUUAAUUUUCAUGCUAGAGAUAUUUGGGGACUGCAAGAGAGGAGGAGGCUUUAAAUAUCUUAUUGGAAUUGGUUCCGGGUGGAUCCAUUUCCUCACUUCUUGGCAAGUUUGGAUCAUUUUCGGGUUAAUCUUAAGAG